rnacentral:misc_RNA from 1 species
CGCACUUUGCGCCCUUUGGUAUUCCGAAGGGCACACCUGUUUGAGUGUCGUGAAAUUAUCAACUCUUUCUUUUCUUUUGGAAAGACUGAGCUUGGAUGUGGAGGCUUGCUGGGUCCCUUGACUGGGGUCAGCUCCUCUUGAAUGCAUUAGUGAGCCUCUCUGUGGCCUCGGUGUGAUAAUUGUCUACGCCGUCGGUUCUGCAGUAUUAUAGGACUUGCUUCUAACCGUCUCUUCUGAGACAACUUUAUCGAAACUUGACCUCAAAUCAGGUGGGACUACCCGCUGAACUUAA